rnacentral:tRNA from 4 species
UGCGAAGUGGCGGAAUUUGGUAGACGCACCGGCAUGAGAGGCCGGCGCCCUUCGGGGCGUGAGGGUUCGAGUCCCUUCUUCGCGACCA